rnacentral:snRNA from 2 species
AUACCUUUCUCGGCUUUUGGCUAAGACUAAGUGAAGUAUCUGUUCUUAUCAAUUUAAUAUAUGAUAUUAACUGAAUUUUUUGAAGGGGACUUAACUAUAGUAGCUUGCUAUCGAGACUCUCAAGCGUCGCCUUGGUGUUAUACUUGGAUCCUUGUAGAAAUAAAAGUA